GAUGAACGCUGGCGGCGUGCCUAAUACAUGCAAGUCGAGCGAACAGACGAGGAGCUUGCUCCUUCGACGUUAGCGGCGGACGGGUGAGUAACACGUAGGUAACCUACCUAUAAGACUGGGAUAACUUCGGGAAACCGGAGCUAAUACCGGAUAAUAUUUCGAACCGCAUGGUUCGAUAGUGAAAGAUGGCUUUGCUAUCACUUAUAGAUGGACCUGCGCCGUAUUAGCUAGUUGGUAAGGUAACGGCUUACCAAGGCAACGAUACGUAGCCGACCUGAAAGGGUGAUCGGCCACACUGGAACUGAGACACGGUCCAGACUCCUACGGGAGGCAGCAGUAGGGAAUCUUCCGCAAUGGGCGAAAGCCUGACGGAGCAACGCCGCGUGAGUGAUGAAGGUCUUCGGAUCGUAAAACUCUGUUAUUAGGGAAGAACAAACGUGUAAGUAACUGUGCACGUCUUGACGGUACCUAAUCAGAAAGCCACGGCUAACUACGUG
rnacentral:rRNA from 1 species